UUCUUUCACCAGUUGUCGAAACGUUCCACAUAAAAAGCAAAAUCCACGAAGCUGUGACAAUACACCAGCCAAGCCUUACGGUUAGGGCAAUUUAUAACGGCAUUUAGACAAGCUAUUAGUUUUCCAAAAUCCUUCCACUUGUUUACGGUACGUCAGCUCAAUUAAGUAGCGCAACCGUGGCUAUCAAAAAAUGGUGCUUUUAUGAUAUUUGUGUAUCAAGCCAACUUUUGUCUUAUUUCCAUUCAUAUUUGUAUUUCUUCGAUUCAGGAUCAGUGUACUAGCAACCUUCAAGCAUUAGUCAAAUUUUAACAACUCUGUCUGUUCUUGGUCUUUGAGGUAGAUUUAGUGGCAUUUUGACAGUCCAAGAGCUCAAGGGAGCCUAAAGAUUUACAAGUUGGUGCUACUGUUGACACUUUUCUCGCAUAAAUAAUGGUUUGGAACGUUAAAUGGACCGUGGUCAUGCAACCGAAGACCUUAAAAAAAGGAAACAAUUCCAAGAAGGCUAACCAUUUUUCCAUCAUGAGAGAGUGUUCCCAGCCUCGGAGAACCAAAGAGGGCGUCUCAGCUAGGUUCUCCAGGGAAAUAUCUUGAAUCCUUUUGUGGACAGCCGAAAACCCAACGCAAAGGCGAAAACCGACUAACCAAAAUAGAGCCAUCAUACGGGUGAGUAAAAAAAAAAGUUCCGACCUACAAUACGAGUGCUCAGCUCUCGCCUUAUCCAAUUUCGUGAUGUUACCUGGCUUUUCAGUGCCUCAUUCAACUCCCUUCUUCGGCUUUUUGGGUUGCCCUGUGUUGCAAAUAAAAUUGUCUUUGAACGAGUUCCAGCACCUACGAAGUUGUUUGGAAAUGCAUUUCCUCUAAGGAACACAUGGUGUUUUGCCUGUUCAUGGUUCGUCAGUCAUCGAUUUUCGUCGAAUCAUCAAUGCAAACCCUCGUAAGGGUACGUUCCAAUUAGACUAUGACGCGCCUUUUUGGGGUCCAACUUGAGGGAACGCCCAGUCACUAUUCUAAGUACCUUACCAUGUCAAGAGCUGUGAAUAGGUGGCCGCCUUAUAACGAUCCCUAAUUUUCAUGGAAGCCUGGUAGAGUGUAUUAUAUAAAAGAUACAGAUAUGGAGGCCUUCAGUCAUCCUGUCUGGGUAUAGAUAUCUGGAGGAUCUAGAGUUGGGAUCACCUUCGCUCUGUCGGACAUUGUCUUCAUUUAUCUUUUUUGUCCCGGGAGGCACUAACCCUGCUUGGCCUGUUGUGUGUAAACACACAACACAACACAAACACACACACGCACACACGAUCCAGAAUGCUUCCAGCCACUAACAAAGAUGAAUUUGUUAUGAAAGAGAUUUCUGAUCAAAGGCAGAUCCAAGACGGUAAACAAUAGCUUCUAGGAGACUCAAAUACAAUGCGAAAAAAGGGGCUUCCUUGAUAGCUCUACGUAGAAU